rnacentral:misc_RNA from 1 species
CAACCCUCGAACCCCUCCGGGGGGUCGGCGUUGGGGAUCGGCCCCUCACCGGGCCGCCCCCGAAAUACAGUGGCGGUCUCGCCGCAGCCUCUCCUGCGCAGUAGUUUGCACACUCGCACCGGGAGCGCGGCGCGGCCACAGCCGUAAAACACCCCAAACUUCUGAAA